UUCCGGUUGAUCCUGCCGGAGGUCACUGCUAUUGGGAUUCGACUAAGCCAUGCGAGUCGAGAGGGUUCGGCCCUCGGCAGACGGCUCAGUAACACGUGGAUAAUCUGCCCUUAGGUGGAGGAUAACCUCGGGAAACUGAGAAUAAUACUCCAUAGAUCUAGGAUGCUGGAAUGCAUCUAGGUUGAAAGUUCCGGCGCCUAAGGAUGAGUCUGCGGACUAUCAGGCUGUAGUCAGGGUAAAGACCUGACUAACCUACGACGGAUACGGGUUGUGAGAGCAAUAACCCGGAGACGAUAUCUGAGACACGAUAUCGGGCCCUACGGGGCGCAGCAGGCGCGAAACCUUCACACUGUGCGAAAGCACGAUGAGGGGAUCCCAAGUGCUUGCACGUAAGUGUAAGCUGUUUCUGUGUCUAAAAAGCAUAGAGAGUAAGGGCUGGGUAAGACGGGUGCCAGCCGCCGCGGUAAUACCUGCAGCUCAAGUGGUGACCGCUAUUAUUGGGCCUAAAACGUUCGUAGCCGGUUUAGUAAAUGCCUGGGUAAAUCGUGUAGCUUAACUAUACGAAUUCCGGGUAGACUGCUAAACUUGAGACCGGGAGAGGCUAGAGGUACUUCUGGGGUAGAGGUGAAAUUCUGUAAUCCUAGGGGGACCACCAGUGGCGAAGGCGUCUAGCUAGAACGGGUCUGACGGUGAGGGACGAAGCCCUGGGGCGCAAACCGGAUUAGAUACCCGGGUAGUCCAGGGUGUAAACGCUGCUUGCUUGAUGUUAGUCGGGCUCUGAGCCCGAUUAGUGUCGGAGAGAAGUUGUUAAGCAAGCUGCCUGGGAAGUACGGUCGCAAGGCUGAAACUUAAAGGAAUUGGCGGGGGAGCACAGCAACGGGUGGAGCGUGCGGUUUAAUUGGAUUCAACGCCGGAAAUCACUAGUGCGGCCGCCUGCAGGUCGACCAUAU
rnacentral:rRNA from 1 species